rnacentral:rRNA from 1 species
CGGGACGGGUGAGUAAUGUCUGGGAAACGUCUCGAUGGAGGGGGAUAACUACUGGAAACGGUAGCUAAUACCGCAUAACGUCGCAAGACCAAAGAGGGGGACCUUCGGGCCUCUUGCCAUCGGAUGUGCCCAGAUGGGAUUAGCUAGUAGGUGGGGUAACGGCUCACCUAGGCGACGAUCCCUAGCUGGUCUGAGAGGAUGAUCAGCCACACUGGGACUGAGACACGGCCCAG